rnacentral:rRNA from 1 species
AUUGAACGCUGGCGGCAGGCCUAACACAUGCAAGUCGAGCGGAUGAAGGGAGCUUGCUCCUGGAUUCAGCGGCGGACGGGUGAGUAAUGCCUAGGAAUCUGCCUGGUAGUGGGGGGUAACGUCCGGAAACGGGCGCUAAUACCGCAUACGUCCUGAGGGAGAAAGUGGGGGAUCUUCGGACCUCACGCUAUCAGAUGAGCCUAGGUCGGAUUAGCUAGUUGGUGGGGUAAAGGCCUACCAAGGCGACGAUCCGUAACUGGUCUGAGAGGAUGAUCAGUCACACUGGAACUGAGACACGGUCCAGACUCCUACGGGAGGCAGCAGUGGGGAAUAUUGGACAAUGGGCGAAAGUCUGAUCCAGCCAUGCCGCGUGUGUGAAGAAGGUCUUCGGAUUGUAAAGCACUUUAAGUUGGGAGGAAGGGCAGUAAGUUAAUACCUUGCUGUUUUGACGUUACCAACAGAAUAAGCACCGGCUAACUUCGUG